UUGCAGCCAGUUAAGCCGACUGUACCCUUUUCCCCAUGGGGGCCCGGUGCGCAGUGGCUGCACCUCGGUAGUGUGUGCGGCCUGUUGCCUGUGUGGGCUGCCCUAAGGGACCCUGGAGACAGCC
rnacentral:snoRNA from 1 species